CAGUAGCCACGGUAAUACGAAGGGAGCUAGCGUUGCUCGGAAUUACUGGGCGUAAAGCGCACGUAGGCGGAUAUUUAAGUCAGGGGUGAAAUCCCGCAGCUCAACUGCGGAACUGCCUUUGAUACUGGGUAUCUUGAGUAUGGAAGAGGUUAGUGGAAUUGCGAGUGUAGAGGUGAAAUUCGUAGAUAUUCGCAGGAACACCAGUGGCGAAGGCGGCUAACUGGUCCAUAACUGACGCUGAGGUGCGAAAGCGUGGGGAGCAAACAGGAUUAGAUACCCCCGUAGUCCCUGUCUCUUAUAC
rnacentral:rRNA from 1 species